rnacentral:rRNA from 1 species
UGCAGUCGAACGAGAAAGCACCUUCGGGUGCGAGUAAAGUGGCGAACGGGUGAGUAACACGUGGGUAACCUACCUUUGAGUGGGGAACAACCCCUCUAACGAGGGGCUAAUACCGCAUAAUGCAGCGGCUCCGCAUGGAGACAGUUGUUAAAGGGGCAGCUUCGGUUGUCUCGCUUGAAGAUGGACCCGCGGUCCAUUAGCUUGUUGGUGAGGUAACGGCUCACCAAGGCAACGAUGGAUAGCCGGCCUGAGAGGGUGUACGGUCACACUGGAACUGAGAAAGGUCCAGUCCCCUACGGGGGCCAGCAGUCUAGAAAUUUGCGCAAUGGGCGAAAGCCUGACGCAGCGACGCCACGUGGAGGAUGAAGCCCUUAGGGGUGUAAACUCCUGUCAGAAGGGAAGAAUGCAGGAAAUAACUUUUCCUGUUUGACGGUACCUUCAGAGGAAGCCCCGGCUAACUUCGUGCCAGCAGCCGCGGUAAUAGGAAGGGGGCAAGCGUUGUUCGGAUUUACUGGGCGUAAAGGGCGUGCAGGCGGACCGAUAAGUCGUCUGUGAAAUCUGUCGGCUCAACCAACAACUUGCAGUCGAAACUAUCGGUCUUGAGUACAGGAGAGGAGAGCGGAAUCUCAGUGUAGCGGUGAAAUGCGUAGAUAUCUGGGAGAACACCGGUGGCGAAGGCGGCUCUCUGGCCUGAUACUGACGCUGAGGCGCGAAAGCUAGGGGAGCGAACGGGAUUAGAUACCCCGGUAGUCCUAGCUGUAAACGAUGGGUACUAGUGUUGGAGGUAUUGACCCCUCCAGUGCCGCAGCUAACGCAUUAAGUACCCCGCCUGGGGAGUACGGUCGCAAGGCUGAAACUCAA